GUGCAUUGCCUGCUGAGUGAAACUACCUGAUCCUACCGCUGGUUUUCAGAAGGUUGAAUGUGAAUAAUUAGGUCCCAAUUUACCCAAGGUGUCUCAAAGAGAAAUGAAGCUCAUGAUUCAUGCCACUUAAAAAUGAUGCCUUCCCAGGGCUACUGCUGAGAAAAAAAGGAGAGAGUUUUGUCUACACAGUGUUGGCCAAAAUAAGGUGUAUUAUAGGCCAAAGUAAAGGCAUACAUGGGACAUGGGGCCACAUUCCAUGACAGAAAGGUUCCAG